GAUGAACGCUGGCGGCGUGCCUAACACAUGCAAGUCGAGCGGUAUAUGGUGGAAUGAAACUUCGGUCGAGUGAAGCUAUAGAGAGCGGCGGACGGGUGAGUAACGCGUAGGCAACCUGCCCCAUACAGAGGGAUAGCCUCGGGAAACCGGGAUUAAAACCUCAUAACGCAGAGAGUUCACAUGGACUAUCUGCCAAAGAUUCAUCGGUAUGGGAUGGGCCUGCGUCUGAUUAGCUAGUUGGUGAGGUAACGGCUCACCAAGGCGACGAUCAGUAGCCGACCUGAGAGGGUAAUCGGCCACAUUGGAACUGAGACACGGUCCAAACUCCUACGGGUGGCAG
rnacentral:rRNA from 1 species